UUCGGAGCUGUGCGGCAUUCUGAGCAGGAAUGGCAAUGUGGACCUCUGUGAUGGGACAUCUUGUGGGAUCUCACAGCCAGGUAACUCAGUGGGGGAGGGGCAUGACUAGAACAUAAUGACCACAAAGCCCAUGAUGGUAUGAGAGUAGUGGACAGAAGGGAUUUCUGAAAAACACUUUUCUGAGGCUUUAAUUCAGCUACUGGAAAGGGUUUAGUUCCGUGAAGAAAGGGACUGACUGUUCACAUCUCUUAUUUCAGUUCUGUGGCAAAGGAGGAUGAAGGUUUAUGAGGACUCGUCAGGAAGCUGGAUAACAGAACGAGCGCAAUGUAAGUAAUUUUGUGUGUGCAUGUGGUCCCAUUACAAGGAAUACCCAAUGGCAAAUGAGCACUAAAGAUCCCUCAACCCACACAUUGAAUGUAUUGUUCCCUGAGAGCAAUUGUAGAUAGAGGAGUGGGUGGGAAGUCUGAAGUCAGGGCAUUGUUUCUGCGUAUCUGAGUAGGCUGGUUUUUGAUAUUUGUGGGAGCUAGUGGUCGUUAACUCAUUUACCCCCUAUUUGGUGGACUCUGGUUCCCCCAUCUUAAGUGCUGAGUCAGGGGCCUAACCGGGCAGCUUUAACUAUUUGUUUGUUGUAGGUGCUAGAAGACCAGAAAAUGAAAUGGUGGAGUUUGAGGCUGGAUAGACAGUUUGAAAGGUACAAAUGAUGGUUUGAAUAAAGGUAUAACGCACGGGUCGCCUCAAGUGAAGGCACUGCAAACAAAAUGGUAAGUCUUUGAA
ensembl:processed_transcript Gas5 growth arrest specific 5